UACGGAGGGGGCUAGCGUUGUUCGGAAUUACUGGGCGUAAAGGGCGCGUAGGCGGGCGAUCAAGUCAGAGGUGAAAGCCCUGGGCUCAACCUGGGAAUUGCCUUUGAAACUAAUUGUCUAGAGUCCGGAAGAGGAUGGCGGAAUUCCCAGUGUAGAGGUGAAAUUCGUAGAUAUUGGGAAGAACACCAGUGGCGAAGGCGGCCAUCUGGUCCGGUACUGACGCUGAGGCGCGAAAGCGUGGGGAGCAAACAGG
rnacentral:rRNA from 1 species